rnacentral:lncRNA from 1 species
GUCGCAGAGAGUAGGUCCUGAUGGCCACAGCAGCAACUUUUGCUCCAUUGUUGACCCAAAGAGUGAUCUCUUAUAUAGCAAGGAACAAAGAGAAAGACUACAAUUCAAGCAUUGAGAUCACGAUCAAAGAUCAAGAGUUGAUUAAAGAUCCAAAAAGACUGAGCUUCAUCUUAGAGAAGAUGGAUCUAUAAUGAGAAGAAAGGUUCAAGAUUGAUCCCGAUGGAUAUCUGUAG